GGGGCCAUAGCUCAGUUGGUAGAGCGCUUGCAUGGCAUGCAAGAGGUCCCGGGUUCGAAUCCCGGUGGCUCCA
rnacentral:tRNA from 1 species